rnacentral:rRNA from 1 species
GAUCCUGGCUUAGAAUGAACGCUGGCGGCAUGGAUUAGGCAUGCAAGUCGAACGUACUCCCUUCGGGGAGAAAGUGGCGAAAGGGUGAGUAACACGUGAGCAACCUGCCUCCGGAUCCGGAAUAAUCCAGGGAAACUUGGUCUAAAACCGGAUGAAGACAUUGGUCCGCAUGGUCUAAUGUUAAAAUAUUUAUAGUCCGGAGAGGGGCUCGCGGCCCAUUAGCUUGUUGGCGGGGUAAUGGCCCACCAAGGCUACGACGGGUAGGUGGUCUGAGAGGAUGGUCACCCACACUGGGACUGAGACACUGCCCAGACUCCUACGGGAGGCUGCAGUCGAGAAUCUUCCGCAAUGGGCGCCAAGCCUGACGGAGCGAUGCCGCGUGAGGGAUGAAGGCCUUCGGGUUGUAAACCUCUGUCAUCCGGGACGAAAACAAUGACGGUACCGGAAAAGGAAGCCACGGCUAACCACGUGCCAGCCGCGGC